UGCCAGCAGCCGCGGUAAUACGGAGGGUGCAAGCGUUAUCCGGAAUCACUGGGUUUAAAGGGUGAGUAGGCGGCAUUAUAAGUCAGAGGUGAAAGCUUACAGCUUAACUGUGAAAUUGCCUUUGAAACUGUAAUACUUGAAUUACGUUGAGGUCAGCGGAAUGUGGCAUGUAGCGGUGAAAUGCAUAGAUAUGCCAUAGAACACCAAUUGCGAAGGCAGCUGGCUAGGCGUAUAUUGACGCUGAGGCACGAAAGCGUGGGUAGCGAACAGGAUUAGAUA
rnacentral:rRNA from 1 species